GUUCACAAUGCAAAUAACAUGUAUUUGUGAUUGCCUAAUCUCUGCUAUUUAUUAUAUCUUGAUGUUUCAAUUUGCAAUAUUAUAACCUGAUGAGGUCUAAUGUAAUGUUUCUCUCACCAAUUUCAACUAGCAGAAGAUUUACAUAACAAAAGAUCCUUAAAGCUAUCGUUAUCUGCUUAAAUAAUGAAAGAUCCUUAAAACUGUCAUUAAGAUGCUAAUGUGUUUCUUAAUAUAUAUUUUAUGUUGUUCUCAGUUUAUAGCAUGAUUAAUUGUUUCAUACUGCUAAAAUUUGACAUACUAUUGAAGUUGAAUUAUGUUGGAAGAUUAAUAGUGCAUAAUUUUG
rnacentral:misc_RNA from 1 species